AUUGAACGCUGGCGGCAGGCCUAACACAUGCAAGUCGAGCGGAUGAAGGGAGCUUGCUCCUGGAUUCAGCGGCGGACGGGUGAGUAAUGCCUAGGAAUCUGCCUGGUAGUGGGGGAUAACGUCCGGAAACGGGCGCUAAUACCGCAUACGUCCUGAGGGAGAAAGUGGGGGAUCUUCGGACCUCACGCUAUCAGAUGAGCCUAGGUCGGAUUAGCUAGUUGGUGGGGUAAAGGCCUACCAAGGCGACGAUCCGUAACUGGUCUGAGAGGAUGAUCAGUCACACUGGAACUGAGACAGGGUCCAGACUCCUACGGGAGGCAGCAGUGGGGAAUAUUGGACAAUGGGGGAAAGCCUGAUCCAGCCAUGCCGCGUGUGUGAAGAAGGUCUUCGGAUUGUAAAGCAUUUUAAGUUGGGAGGAAGGGCAGUAAGUUAAUACCUUGCUGUUUUGACGUUACCAACAGAAUAAGCACCGGCUAACUUCGUG
rnacentral:rRNA from 1 species